UACGUAGGGGGCUAGCGUUGUCCGGAUUUAUUGGGCGUAAAGAGCGUGUAGGCGGCCAGGUAGGUCUGCUGUGAAAACUCGAGGCUCAACCUCGAGACGUCGGCGGAAACCAUCUGGCUAGAGUCCGGAAGAGGAGAGUGGAAUUCCUGGUGUAGCGGUGAAAUGCGCAGAUAUCGAGAGGAACACCUGCGGCGAAGGCGGGUAGCUGGCCGACACUGACGCUGAGGCGCGAAAGCCAGGGAGCGAACGGG
rnacentral:rRNA from 1 species